rnacentral:piRNA from 1 species
UUUGUUUUUCAACAUCUAAUU